CGCGCAGCGAGAGGUGCUUGCACCUUUCAAGCGAGUGGCGAACGGGUGAGUAACACGUGGAUAACCUGCCUCAAGGCUGGGGAUAACAUUUGGAAACAGAUGCUAAUACCGAAUAAAACUUAGUAUCGCAUGAUAUAAAGUUAAAAGGCGCUACGGCGUCACCUAGAGAUGGAUCCGCGGUGCAUUAGUUAGUUGGUGGGGUAAAGGCUUACCAAGACAAUGAUGCAUAGCCGAGUUGAGAGACUGAUCGGCCACAUUGGGACUGAGACACGGCCCAAACUCCUACGGGAGGCUGCAGUAGGGAAUCUUCCACAAUGGGCGCAAGCCUGAUGGAGCAACGCCGCGUGUGUGAUGAAGGCUUUCGGGUCGUAAAGCACUGUUGUAUGGGAAGAAAUGCUAAAAUAGGGAAUGAUUUUAGUUUGACGGUACCAUACCAGAAAGGGACGGCUAAAUACGUGCCAGCAGCCGCGGUAAUACGUAUGUCCCGAGCGUUAUCCGGAUUUAUUGGGCGUAAAGCGAGCGCAGACGGUUGAUUAAGUCUGAUGUGAAAGCCCGGAGCUCAACUCCGGAAUGGCAUUGGAAACUGGUUAACUUGAGUGUUGUAGAGGUAAGUGGAACUCCAUGUGUAGCGGUGGAAUGCGUAGAUAUAUGGAAGAACACCAGUGGCGAAGGCGGCUUACUGGACAACAACUGACGUUGAGGCUCGAAAGUGUGGGUAGCAAACAGGAUUAGAUACCCUGGUAGUCCACACCGUAAACGAUGAAUACUAGGUGUUAGGAGGUUUCCGCCUCUUAGUGCCGAAGCUAACGCAUUAAGUAUUCCGCCUGGGGAGUACGACCGCAAGGUUGAAACUCAAAGGAAUUGACGGGGACCCGCACAAGCGGUGGAGCAUGUGGUUUAAUUCGAAGCAACGCGAAGAACCUUACCAGGUCUUGACAUCCUUUGAAGCUUUUAGAGAUAGAAGUGUUCUCUUCGGAGACAAAGUGACAGGUGGUGCAUGGUCGUCGUCAGCUCGUGUCGUGAGAUGUUGGGUUAAGUCCCGCAACGAGCGCAACCCUUAUUGUUAGUUGCCAGCAUUCAGUUGGGCACUCUAGCGAGACUGCCGGUGACAAACCGGAGGAAGGCGGGGACGACGUCAGAUCAUCAUGCCCCUUAUGACCUGGGCUACACACGUGCUACAAUGGCGUAUACAACGAGUUGCCAACCUGCGAAGGUGAGCUAAUCUCUUAAAGUACGUCUCAGUUCGGACUGCAGUCUGCAACUCGACUGCACGAAGUCGGAAUCGCUAGUAAUCGCGGAUCAGCACGCCGCGGUGAAUACGUUCCCGGGUCUUGUACACACCGCCCGUCACACCAUGGGAGUUUGUAAUGCCCAAAGCCGGUGGCCUAACCUUCGGGAGGGA
rnacentral:rRNA from 1 species